rnacentral:tRNA from 1 species
UGCCAUAUGGUGAAGUGGUAACACAUUGCACUUUGACUGCAACAUUCCCUAGUUCGAAUCUAGGUAUGGCAA